rnacentral:misc_RNA from 1 species
UUUCCGUAGGUGAACCUGCGGAAGGAUCAUUAAAAAAUUGGACUCCAUUGGUGAGUUCAUUAAUAAUCCCUACCCUUUGUGAAUUUGUUUGUUUGAAUAAUUUUUUUUCCAAAAAAAAUUAUUGAAUGUCUUUCCUUGUUUUGGUGGAGCUUGUAAAGUGAAACCAGGCAGGGGAAUGGCAAACAAUAAUUAUUUUUGAAAAAGACCUUUUUUUAAAAUUAAACUUUUUGUAUUCAUUUGUCUAAAAUUAAUUUUUAUAAUAUAAAAACAACUUCUGACAAUGGAUCUCUUGGUUCUCGCAACGAUGAAGAACGCAGCAAAAUGCGAUAAGUAGUGUGAAUUGCAGAAUACGUGAAUCAUCGAAUCUUCGAACGCAUAUUGCACUUUUUUAGUUUACUAAAAAAGUAUGUCUGUUUGAGUAUCAGUAAAAUAUUCUCAUAAAAAACAUUGUUUUUUUAUGGUUAUGAGUGUUUUACAACGAUAACAAGUUGUUUCACUUUAAAUUCUUUGUUAUCAAAAAAAUCAUUAAAAGCUAAUUUUAAAGAUUUUUUAAAAUUGGAUAAAAUUUUCCCGUAAAAAGGAAUAACCUAAACAAUUUUAAAAAAUUAAAAUUGGUUUGAUUUUUUUGAAACCCAAAGGAAAAAAAACGAAAUUAACUUGAUCUCAAAUCAGAUAAGAGUACCCGCUGAACUUAAGCAUAUCAAUAAGCGGAGGAAAAGAAACUAACUAGGAUUCCCUCAGUAACGGCGAGUGAAGCGGGAAGAGCUCAAAUUUGAAAUCUUCAAGGUUUUACCUUGACGAAUUGUAGUUUAAAGAAGUGUUUUCUGUUGGAGUUUUGGUAAAAGUUCUUUGGAAAAGGACAUCAUAGAGGGUGAGAAUCCCGUAUUUGACCAUUAUCUCCAGCUUUGUGAUACACUUUCAAAGAGUCGGAUUGUUUGGGAAUGCAGUCCAAAAUGGGUGGUAAAUUUCAUCUAAAGCUAAAUACUGGCGAGAGACCGAUAGCGAACAAGUACCGUGAGGGAAAGAUGAAAAGAACUUUGAAAAGAGAGUUAAACAGUACGUGAAAUUGUCAAAAGGGAAGCGUUUGACACCAGUGUUGUUUUCUCGAAAAUCAAUUAAAAAAGGCCGGAUUUUGUGUUGUAUUGACUUUAUCAGCUUUCUGCACUCUUUUCUUGUCUUUUUUAAUGCACUUUUCGUUUAACAAGUCAACAUCAAUUUCUUUUGUUGUAAAAGGGUCAUUGGAAGGUGGCUUUCUUUUCGGAGAAAGUGUUUAUAGCCUUUGGCCUCUGCAAUCGGAGAGAUUGAGGUCUGCAGCGUAGAUCCUUCGGGGUUAGAUACAUUUGUGCUAAGUUAUAGCCUUUCAUAGACAACUUGUUGACUAUGAUCAGCCAUGUAGCUUACUCGCUUAUGCUAUUUUACCUACGCUUAGGAUGUUG